CCUACGGGAGGCAGCAGUGGGGAAUCUUGCACAAUGGGGGAAACCCUGAUGCAGCGACGCCGCGUGAGUGAAGAAAUAUCUCGGUACGUAAAGCUCUAUCAGCAGGGAAGAUAAUGACGGUACCUGACCAAGAAGCCCCGGCUAACUACGUGCCAGCAGCCGCGGUAAUACGUAGGGGGCAAGCGUUAUCCGGAUUUACUGGGUGUAAAGGGAGCGUAGACGGGAGCACAAGUCUGAAGGGAAAUGCCGGGGCGUAACCCCGGAACUGCUUUGGAAACUGUGCGGCUGGAGUGAAGGAGGGGGAAGCGGAAUUCCUAGUGGAGCGGUGAAAUGCGUAGAUAGUAGGAGGAACACUGGUGGCGAAGGCGGGUUACUGGACUGUAACUGACGUUGAGGCUCGAAAGCGUGGGGAGCGAACGGGAUUAGAUACCCUAGUAGUC
rnacentral:rRNA from 1 species